GGGCGGCUCACCCGGAAGAGGUGGGGCGUCCCGGGAGGCCUUCCGGGCUGUCGGGUGGAGCUGCGGCGCGCCAUGCUGGCGCUGCCCUGGCCUGUUGCAGUGCUCCCAACAACCGAAACAUUCGGCAUGGCUGGCCCCAGCACCGCACUGCUUGAACUCCGGCCUGCCCGUUAAUAUUGGAGUGCUCUUUGUGCCGCAGCAGGAGGCUUGGGUGGUGGAGAGGAUGGGCAAGUUCCACCGAAUCCUUGAGCCUCUUUAUAUACUGAGCAUGACAUCAUAUGGUAUGGAAUAUCCCUUUGGUCAGUUGGGGUCAGCUGUCCCGGCUGUGUCCCCUCCCAGUUUCUUGUGCACCCGGCAGAGCAUGUGGAGCUGAAAAAAAUUCCUUGACCAGUGUAAGUGCUACUUAGCAACAACUAAAACAUCAGUGUGUUAUCAACAUUACUUCCAGCACAAAUCCAAAACAUAGCCCCAUACUAGCUACUACGAAGAAAAUGAACUCUAUCCCGGCUGAAACCAGGACAAGCAUCUACAGCGUGUAGUAUAUUUGAACUUUGCACAGCCCUCUCUAGCCUGGCUGAGCUCUCUGGGGGGGAGGUGUGAAACCCCAGAUUAGAGGGCUCAGCUCUCUAGUCCCAACCUUUUCCCAGGUUUUGAACUUCCUCAUCCUUCUGCUGGAUCGGAUUCAUUAUGUCCAGA